GACGAACGCUGGCGGCGUGCCUAAUACAUGCAAGUCGAGCGCAGUAUGGUGGUACUUGUACCGACUGGAUGAGCAGCCAACGGGUGAGUGAGGCGUGGGGUAUCUGCCUUUCUGCGGGGGACAACUGUAAGAAACUACUGCUAAUACCGCAUAUAAACUUUAAACACCUUAUUUAUGUUAAAACUAUGCACUUGCAUAACUCACAUAUGAUCCCGCGAUGUAUUAGCUAGUUGGUGAGCUAACGGCGCACCAGGGCGAUGAUACGUAGCCGACAGGAGAGGAUGGGCAGCCACACUGGGACGGAGAAAGGGCACAAACUCCUAGGGGAAGGGGCAGUAGGGAAUCUUCAGGAAUGAGCGGAAGUCAUACCGAGCAACGCCACGUGAGUGAAGAAGGAUUUCUGAGUGUAAAACGCUGUUGGUAGGGAAGAACGUUGGUUAGAGUGGAGAGCAAAACGAUGACGGCUAAAAAAGCAGAAAGGAAGGGUAAACUCGGG
rnacentral:rRNA from 1 species